rnacentral:tRNA from 2 species
GUUAAUGUAGCUUAAUUUUAAAGCAAGACACUGAAAAUGUCUAGACGGGUAAUCAUAACCCCAUAAACA